GCGUCAGACAUCCUCCCUGUUACCGCUGAGACGUUGGUUUCAUCGCUACGGUGACAUUGCUACAGCCGUAUCGCCAUGGCACCCAGGGCAACUGAGUGGAUGGAUAUCCACAGAGAAAGGACUAGGAGGAUGCUCGUCAGAGGAUGUCGUACCAAAAGUUCCUCCAUGUAGAGAUGUCGGCUUACAUUAAAGUAUAUGCAGUGAA